rnacentral:rRNA from 1 species
UACGUAGGGUGCAAGCGUUGUCCGGAAUUAUUGGGCGUAAAGAGCUCGUAGGCGGUUUGUCGCGUCUGCUGUGAAAACGCGAGGCUCAACCUCGCGCCUGCAGUGGGUACGGGCAGACUAGAGUGCGGUAGGGGAGAUUGGAAUUCCUGGUGUAGCGGUGGAAUGCGCAGAUAUCAGGAGGAACACCGAUGGCGAAGGCAGAUCUCUGGGCCGUAACUGACGCUGAGGAGCGAAAGCGUGGGGAGCAAACGGG